GCCAGCAUGGUAUAUUGGUUAGACCAUUGGACCAAGACUCCAGAAGACCAGGGUUCAAAUUCCUGUUCAGCCA